UUAUUAUGGCAACUGUACAUGUCCUAGCCCAUCUGAGUGUCCAUUCUGUGGAUCAAAUGGGCUAUUAGGCCUCGCAGGUAACUCCCUUCAUGUAACCCCACAUUUCUAAUCCAGUGGGUCAGGCAGGUAAAGCUAUGCCCUGACUAAUGUGUAACUGCAGCCAGCUCCCAGGAUUCAGAAUGUCCAGGGGCGGGGGGAGGGAUGAAUAAGUUAAUCAAGCCGGGAGUUCUUUAAGUGACAGUCUAACCUGCCUAUGGCUUGGAAGGUGGAGAGCAUAAAACAAGACAAAAAGAUAAUCUUGGCUGUAGUUACAAAGUACAAACCAAGAUGAGAUGUCCUUAAAAAAAACCCAACUACUUCUG